rnacentral:misc_RNA from 1 species
GAAAUGCGAUAAGUAAUGUGAAUUGCAGAAUUCAGUGAAUCAUCGAAUCUUUGAACGCACCUUGCGCUCCUUGGUAUUCCUUGGAGCAUGCCUGUUUGAGUAUCAUGAAAUCUUCAAAGUAAAUCUUUUGUUAACUCAAUUGGUUUCUACUUUGGUAUUGGAGGUCUUUGCAGCUUCACACCUGCUCCUCUUUGUUCAUUAGCUGGAUCUCAGUGUUAUGCUUGGUUCCACUCGGCGUGAUAAGUUAUCUAUCGCGGAGGACACUGUAAAAGGUGGCCAAGGUAAAUGCAGAUGAACCGCUUCUAAUAGUCCAUUGACUUGGACAAUACUUUUAUGAUCUGAUCUCAAAUCAGGUAGGACUACCCGCUGAACUUAAGC